UACGUAGGGUGCGAGCGUUAACCGGAAUUACUGGGCGUAAAGCGUGCGCAGGCGGUUUUGUAAGCCGGAUGUGAAAUCCCCGGGCUUAACCUGGGAAUGGCAUUCGGGACUGCAAGGCUGGAGUGCGGCAGAGGAGACUGGAAUUCCUGGUGUAGCAGUGAAAUGCGUAGAUAUCAGGAGGAACACCGAUGGCGAAGGCAGGUCUCUGGGCUGACACUGACGCUCAUGCACGAAAGCGUGGGGAGCAAACAGG
rnacentral:rRNA from 1 species